AAGCGGUGGAGCAUGUGGUUUAAGUUCGACGCUACGCGAAGAACCUUACCUGGGCUUGAACUGCUGGUGGUAGAAGCCCGAAAGGGUAACGACCCGGAGCAAUCCGGGAGCCAGUAGAGGUGCUGCAUGGCUGUCGUCAGCUCGUGUCGUGAGAUGUUGGGUUAAGUCCCGCAACGAGCGCAACCCUUACCCUUAGUUGCCAGCGGGUAAUGCCGGGCACUCUAAGGGGACCGCCCCGGAUAACGGGGAGGAAGGCGGGGAUGACGUCAAGUCAGCAUGGCCCUUAUGUCCAGGGCUACACACGUGCUACAAUGGGCGAUACAGAGGGAAGCAAGGCCGCAAGGUAGAGCUAAUCCCUAAAGUCGUCCUCAGUUCGGAUUGCAGGCUGCAACUCGCCUGCAUGAAGUUGGAGUUGCUAGUAAACGCAGGUCAGCCAUACUGCGUUGAAUACGUUCCCGGGGCUU
rnacentral:rRNA from 1 species